UACGUAGGGUGCAAGCGUUGUCCGGAAUUAUUGGGCGUAAAGCGCGCGCAGGUGGUUCCUUAAGUCUGAUGUGAAAGCCCACGGCUCAACCGUGGAGGGUCAUUGGAAACUGGGGAACUUGAGUGCAGAAGAGGAAAGUGGAAUUCCAAGUGUAGCGGUGAAAUGCGUAGAGAUCCGGAGGAACCCCAGAGGCGAAGGCGGCCCCCUGGCUCGUACCUGACGCUCAGCCACGAAAGCAUGGGGAGCGAACGGG
rnacentral:rRNA from 1 species